GGAUGUGAGGGCGAUCUGGCUGCGACAUCUGUCACCCCAUUGAUCGCCAGGGUUGAUUCGGCUGAUCUGGCUGGCUAGGCGGGUGUCCCCUUCCUCCCUCACCGCUCCAUGUGCGUCCCUCCCGAAGCUGCGUGCUCGGUCGAAGAGGACGACCAUCCCCGAUAGAGGAGGACCGUUCUUCAGUCAAGGGUAUACAAGUAGCUGCGCUCCCCUGCUAGAACCUCCAAACAAGCUCUCAAGAAUAUUCUACGAAGGAAAAAUAGCAGGCCCAAAUGGCCAGAGGCAGGAAGAAUUUGGAUUAUUU
rnacentral:snRNA from 1 species